ACUCCACUCAUCCAUCUUUACAUGAUUUGAGAAUAUCAAAACUUUAUUCCAAGUAGAAUAACAUGAGGUGAUGGUAUGCCUGAUUUUUUCUUUCAUAUUUUUUCUUUCUCUGUUUGGUCCUCUGGAAAAGGGACUUUCAGUCUUUCCUUGAUUACUUGCUCAUACUCUUUUCUUUCUAUUUAUCAAUUCAGCUUCAUAUUGGAGACUGGGUGGAAUAAUCAAACAUUGGUUAGGAGAGCAUGUAUCAAAAGUAAUAAACCUAAUAAGAAAGGGGAAAAGCUCUCAUGAGUGAACAAUCAAAAUAUAAGUCCUCUGGAAAAUCUCCAAAAGGGCCUGGGUCAUUUGGAACAUGUGUUUGGAAGGGGUUCAAAUUUGAUUAGAAAGAGGAUCAAAAUGACACAGCUAUGAGGUCCAGAAUAUGUUAGUACAUUGAGUACUCUCUUGGUCUGUCCCUGUUCCAUUAUAUAUGCUUUGAGAAUGAAGCUUCUAUAGAGGUGAAUGAGGUGAGAGAGCGCGUGCUGAACUUCUUUCUCUAUUGCAUAUCAGAAAUUAGGGAACUCUGGAGCAGGUUCAAGUGCUGAUUUGCACUCUUCGUCCAAAUCUCUACCAGGAGGAAAGUAUAAGUCUUGUUGAGCUUUACCCAUUUUCUCUACAACUAUCACAAGGAUGCAGCAGUUGGCUCCUUCCGGAGCUCCACAAAGGAGAAGAGAUCGGCCCAGAGCUCCUCAAAGCUAUAAUGGAGUCAAAAAUCUCAUCCAAUCUUCUGCAAAAACUAUGCAUAUAUGGUGCCUCCGCGAGUUGGUCAUCAAGAUGGUGCAAUGCAAGAGAAGUAUGGGACAAUUGAUUUUACCAAUCUAUGAUGUUGAGCCGUCAGAUGUAAGGCACCGGUUUGGGAGUCGGGAGAUUCUUGACGCGAGAAUUCAAAGACUGCCAAGGAGCAUUCACUAGCUCUCAUGCCAGCAAACCUUUAAUUUAGGAGGCUGCACGGAGCUCCAAUCAAUUGCUGCUGAAGUUUCCCCCAAGUUUAAAGAGUCUACAUGUCCCUGGCUUUAUCCCUGGUCUUGCAAAUUUGAUCAAUUUACUUGAACUUCGGAUUAUUGGAAAAAUGUUCAAAUUGGAGAAAUUGAACUUGGAACUUGUAAAUAUUAGGACCCUGCCCGGAGAGAUUAGUACCCUUUGAAUUUUAAAUGCAACUUGGGAUUACCCUCAAGUCUGGUUGAUUUAUCUGUAUACAAUUGUAAGUCACAAAUAUUCGGGGGUCCAUUUGAUCCCGAGGAACUGAAGGAAGGA